rnacentral:rRNA from 1 species
UACGAAGGGGGCUAGCGUUGCUCGGAAUUACUGGGCGUAAAGCGCACGUAGGCGGAUCUUUAAGUCAGGGGUGAAAUCCUGGAGCUCAACUCCAGAACUGCCUUUGAUACUGAAGAUCUUGAGUCCGGAAGAGGUGAGUGGAACUGCGAGUGUAGAGGUGAAAUUCGUAGAUAUUCGCAAGAACACCAGUGGCGAAGGCGGCUCACUGGUCCGGUACUGACGCUGAGGCACGAAAGCGUGGGGAGCAAACAGG